CUUUUCUCUGCAAAAUUGAUGCAUUUCUUCCUCCAAAUUAGUUUUGGUCGAAGAGUUGUAGGCAUUUUCUUUUUUUCGUCUUUUUAUUUUUCUGAAAAUUUUUAGCAGUUAGCAGUUGCAUUGGCAUUUGGCAAGGCUAUCCAAGAGAGCCUCUCUCACCGGAAACUGAGUACCAAGAAAUUUUUAAAAAUUCCCAACUUUUCUGGAACAAGCUUCAACAAUACUCCGCAUCGCUGCCUACCAAUUUCAAAUUUUAGCAGAGAAAUAUCAAGGACAACUGAUGAUCAUGCCUGAGUCUGAGGUCAACUACCAUUGAAGAUUUGAAUAAUCUUAUUGCUAAUGCAAGGAUACUACAAGAAUUAUCCCAUCAUGUAAUGUGCAGUUUUGACUUUACAUCUUGCAGUCUUCUGUAAAAGUUGCAGUUGACAGACUAAUCAGGAUAUAGAAAAGAAUGCAUAACUUUACUGGGUUGAAGAAGAAGGAAUAAGCUCAGUAAAAUUUUCAACUUGACUGAAUGAGACUUCGACUGCACAACUUCACUUAACUUUCAUGUUGUCUGUUGGAGAAGACAGAAUAUUAUUCAAAAAUAAAUUUUAUACGUCAUGAUUGAGAAAGAACUAAUAGCACAUAAAUGGUUAUGAGAUGAAGAUGAAAGCAAAAGUUAGUAGUAUGAUAUAUGGUUGUGAUUGCAUACACAAUUUUUCUUCAUGUUUCAUCCAUAGGGAAGAUCCAAUUGUUACUAGAUCAAAAGUUGAUUUCUGCGGGUAGAAGGUGAAUUUGAUUCCACGGGGCUGCUUUCAUUUGGCGUUUUCUUCCUUUUGUGUAAAGAGAUGAAACAAUGUACUGUUUAUCUUGAACUUGAUCGUCUAAGUUCAAAUUUAUUAGCCAUUAUUGGUGUAGUUUUAUUUUUGAUAUAUGCAAUGCCUAUAUUACUUGGGAAGGGAUUCUCCCGUGUAAAUUAAGUACUUAUG